UGGUACUUGUACCGACUGGAUGAGCAGCGAACGGGUGAGUAACGCGUGGGGAAUCUGCCUUUGAGCGGGGGACAACAUUUGGAAACGAAUGCUAAUACCGCAUAAAAACUUUAAACACAAGUUUUAAGUUUGAAAGAUGCAAUUGCAUCACUCAAAGAUGAUCCCGCGUUGUAUUAGCUAGUUGGUGAGGUAAAGGCUCACCAAGGCGAUGAUACAUAGCCGACCUGAGAGGGUGAUCGGCCACAUUGGGACUGAGACACGGCCCAAACUCCUACGGGAGGCAGCAGUAGGGAAUCUUCGGCAAUGGACGAAAGUCUGACCGAGCAACGCCGCGUGAGUGAAGAAGGUUUUCGGAUCGUAAAACUCUGUUGGUAGAGAAGAACGUUGGUGAGAGUGGAAAGCUCAUCAAGUGACGGUAACUACCCAGAAAGGGACGGCUAACUACGUGCCAGCAGCCGCGGUAAUACGUAGGUCCCGAGCGUUGUCCGGAUUUAUUGGGCGUAAAGCGAGCGCAGGUGGUUUAUUAAGUCUGGUGUAAAAGGCAGUGGCUCAACCAUUGUAUGCAUUGGAAACUGGUAGACUUGAGUGCAGGAGAGGAGAGUGGAAUUCCAUGUGUAGCGGUGAAAUGCGUAGAUAUAUGGAGGAACACCGGUGGCGAAAGCGGCUCUCUGGCCUGUAACUGACACUGAGGCUCGAAAGCGUGGGGAGCAAACAGGAUUAGAUACCCUGGUAGUCCACGCCGUAAACGAUGAGUG
rnacentral:rRNA from 1 species